ACAAGUCUCUUCAGUUGUUGGCUCAAGCACGGCUUGGCCAUUGUCGGUUUUUUGUGCUGAAUACCUACUUGAAAGGCAUUCUUCGGUUGCAAAUUAGAAGAUUCCGCCUUGUGCCGCGCCCUUUGGGGAUGCGGUGUAGGGUGGACCUCGAAGCACGCUGCGUGUCCCACGGAACUUGCACAACCUUGUGCUUGUUUUGUUGGCCCAUGUGGCCGUGCGCGGUCUCUCGGAUAUAGAACAUUGUGCGGGCAUGAGGUCUCGGUCUCUAUCUUGCCCAAACGAUAAGCGUUCUACGCUUUGUGCGAACGACUUCCACAAGCGUUUUGAUCGGUCUUUUGGCUUUGCUCAUGCGCUGUGGUGUCCGUUGAGAA
rnacentral:misc_RNA from 1 species